rnacentral:ncRNA from 2 species
GCCGCACUUGCAGGAGAGCGGGCCGCGAAAGCGGCUCCACCGAAGGCGCAAACUCCCAUAAACGCUCAGGUCGGCUCGCCACGAGCCUGUACUGCAAUCAACUG